UAAAACUCCCCCAAGGAGCCCGUGCCCGAGGACACCGACCGGGAAUACAAUGGGAAAUAGACUUUACUGAAGUAAAACCGGGACUGUAUGGUUAUAAAUAUCUCAUAGUUUUUGUAGACACCUUUUCAGGCUGGGUAGAAGCCUACCCCACGAAGAAUGAAACGGCCACGACAGUCGUUAAAAAAACUCCUUGAAGAAAUUUUUCCCCGGUACGGAUUGCCGCAAGUAUUAGGGUCAGAUAACGGUCCCGCUUUCGCCUCCCAGGCGCAUCUCCAGGCUCUCAGAGCAGUGAGAGAGUACAUCUGGAAACCGCUUGCAGAGGCCUACAAGGACAAAGACAUUCCACCGUGCCCUCACCCGUUCAAGGAAGGAGAC